UACAGAGGUCCCAAGCGUUGUUCGGAUUCACUGGGCGUAAAGGGUGCGUAGGCGGUCGGGUAAGUCUGAUGUGAAAUCUCACAGCUUAACUGUGAAACUGCAUUGGAUACUAUCCGGCUAGAGGAAUGGAGGGGAGACUGGAAUACUUGGUGUAGCAGUGAAAUGCGUAGAUAUCAAGUGGAACACCAGUGGCGAAGGCGAGUCUCUGGACAUUUCCUGACGCUGUGGCACGAAAGCCAGGGGAGCAAACGGG
rnacentral:rRNA from 1 species